rnacentral:rRNA from 1 species
AACGAACGCUGGCGGCAGGCUUAACACAUGCAAGUCGAACGCCCCGCCAGGGGAGUGGCAGACGGGUGAGUAACGCGUGGGAACAUACCCUUUCCUGCGGAAUAGCUCCGGGAAACUGGAAUUAAUACCGCAUACGCCCUACGGGGGAAAGAUUUAUCGGGGAAGGGUUGGCCCGCGUUGGAUUAGCUAGUUGGUGGGGUAAAGGCCUACCAAGGCGACGAUCCAUAGCUGGUCUGAGAGGAUGAUCAGCCACAUUGGGACUGAGACACGGCCCAAACUCCUACGGGAGGCAGCAGUGGGGAAUAUUGGACAAUGGGCGCAAGCCUGAUCCAGCCAUGCCGCGUGAGUGAUGAAGGCCUUAGGGUUGUACAGCUCUUUCACCGAUGAAGAUAAUGACGGUAGUCGGAGAAGAAGCCCCGGCUAACUUCGUG